UUACACCUGCGGUGUUCGUCACCCUCACAUAUGUUCAACCGACUCAUUUACUUGGGGAGUUUUAUGCUGUACAGCUGUCAUGCCGCCUUUGAGCGGAAGGCAAAAAUACAGCCAGAACGCCCACCUGCUGGAAGGCGGGUUUGAACAUACGGAGGAGACGGUACCUCGGGGGUGCU
rnacentral:other from 1 species